AUUGAACGCUGGCGGCAGGCUUAACACAUGCAAGUCGAACGAGCGGCGGACGGGUGAGUAAUGUCUGGGAAACUGCCUGAUGGAGGGGGAUAACUACUGGAAACGGUAGCUAAUACCGCAUACCAUCGGAUGUGCCCAGAUGGGAUUAGCUAGUAGGUGGGGUAAAGGCUCACCUAGGCGACGAUCCCUAGCUGGUCUGAGCGGAUGACCGGCCACACUGGAACUGAGACACGGUCCAGACUCCGACGGGAGGCAGCAGUGGGGAAUAUUGCACAAUGGGCGCAAGCCUGAUGCAGCCAUGCCGCGUGUGGGAAGAAGGUCUUCGGGUUGUAAAGUACUUUCAGCGAGGAGGCGUUACCCGCAGAAGAAGCACCGGCUAACUCCGUGCCAGCCGCCGCGGUAAUUC
rnacentral:rRNA from 1 species